GGGGGGGGGGGGGGGAUGAGGAUUACUAUGAUAGUAGUGAUAUAGGAAGUGAUGAUAGUCACGAUGAGCUAAAUGUGCUACUAUAUGUGAAAUAUUUAAUUCUUGGAUAGUAGAACCUAACCAUAAGUCAAUUAUAUCUAUGUUAAAAGAAAUAAGGUGCAAAAUCAUGACUAUGCAUGUUGAUAUGAGGAGAUUUGCUGAGACAUGGAUAACAGAUAUAUCCCCAAUAGCAAGAAUGUCAUUAGAAGAAGAUAAAGAUACCUCUAAGAGGUGUAAAGUUCUUUGGAAUGGGGAUAAUGGAUGUGAGAUUAGUGAUGGUGAUAUUAAACAUGUUGUUGAUCUAAGAUGGAAGACUUGCACUUAUAGAACCUGGAUGUUAAGAGGAAUUCCUUGUCCUCAUGCUAUCUGCAUUAUAUCAUAAAGAAAAAAAUCCAGAUGAGUUGGUUGAGCAUUGGUACAGGAAGUCCAUCUUCAUGAAAGCUUACCAAUAUUCUAUACAACCUAUGCCCAAUAUGAAGAUGUGGCCAGAAUCAGAAAAUCCUUAAAUUGAGCCACCUAAACCAAAACCAAUGCCAGGGAGACCUAAAAGGUGUAGGAUAAGAGCAAAGGAUGAGCUAAGAAAAAAAUUUGGCAAGUUAUCAAAGAAAGGAGUAAAGAUGACUUGCUCAAAAUGUCACCAGUUGGGUCAUAACAAAUCUGCUUGCAAAUAUGAGCCUACAAUGAGAGAUACAACUCAAAGAAGUCAGCCAAUUGAAAGGAGUCAGCCAACUACUACUGCAACAACCAUGCAUAGAACUCCAUCUUCAAUUUGUGAAGACACAUCUGCUGUAAGAAGAAGCGGUCUCAUAGUCAGUCUACAUCAAGAGGAAGAGGCAGAGGUCUAGGCCUAGGAAGGGGAUAUUUUAGAUUUGCUGACACUGCUAUUGAAGGAAGGGGUACUAGCAAUGUAAGCUCAAACAUACAACAAGCACAUGAAACUCAACAGGCAGCAAGGUAUAAAAGGCCUAGACAGUCAGGUUUUGGCAUUUAUCAAGACACAAUGACUGGAAGAAGCAUAUUGAAUCCUGGUGCACCUUCUGAAAGAGUGCAUAUGGUACAUUUAGAGAUGCAUCUGCAACAAACAUUGAUAUUGGAUUUAAGCCUAAUGGUCUAAAAUGGAAAGGAAAAAGAGCAGUUACAACAACCCAACUUCAAAGGAUGAGUGCAAAUCGAAGGACUUCAAGUCAACCAAAGGAGUGCAACUAGGAAUCCCAGCUUUAGAAGUCUUUUGUUUAUGUCGUAGGACUAGUUACGCCAAGGUUGUUGAAUCUUUUGUGUAAUAUUUUUUGGUAUUGAAUAUGUAAGACCCUGUUGGUGUUUUUUGGUAUUGGUAUUGGAUAUGUUAUUUUUGUAUUGGUA